rnacentral:lncRNA from 1 species
AUUCGACAUCAUUUCGUCGCCGUUUGGUAUGGGGUAAAUCAUGGUUCCUUCUCAUGUCUCUUCCAUCCAUUCGAGUUGUUAAAUCUUCAAUGGCUAGAUUGAGCUUGGUAAACAUGUCCUCCAUGUGCUCAUCUAGAUUCUUUGGUCUGUUGGUUUCAUUUGGUUGAGAAAUAGUGAUACCUGCGAGGAAAAUGUUUGUGGAAAAAGACUCUACCCCAUCUUCAUUUUUGUUUACCUCAUAAUCUCUCGAGACCCAAUCUUUUCCCUUGAGUUGAUCAGAACCAAGUCCUCUUGAACCAAGAUAGGCAAGGUUGUCAUUAAGACUCUGUAAGGAAUCCUAAAGGGGAUUUUUGAUGCAGGGUGGAGAUGGAUGACUCCACAGAUUGAAAACACCUUGAUUAUGAACCCACCAUAUUCAGAAAUU